rnacentral:rRNA from 1 species
AUGGGGUGCAGCAGGCGCGAAACCUUCACAAUGCGCGAAAGCGCGAUGAGGGGAUCCUAAGUGCUUGCUCGUAAGAGUAAGCUGUUUUUAUGUCUAAAAAGCAUAGAGAGUAAAGGCUGGGUAAGACGGGGUGCCAGCCGCCGCGGUAAUACCUGCAGCUCAAGUGGUGACCACUAUUAUUGGGCCUAAAACGUUCGUAGCCGGUUUGGUAAAUCCCUGGGUAAAUCGUGUAGCUUAACUAUACGAAUUCCGGGUAGACUGCCAAACUUGAGACCGGGAGAAGCUAGAGGUACUCCUGGGGUAGAGGUGAAAUUCUGUAAUCCUGGGGGGACCACCAGUGGCGAAGGCGUCUAGCUAGAACGGGUCUGACGGUGAGGAACGAAGCCCUGGGGCGCAAACCGGAUUAGAUACCCGGGUAGUCCAGGGUGUAAACGCUGCUUGCUUGAUGUUAGUUGGGCUCCGAGCCCAAUUAGUGUCGGAGAGAAGUUGUUAACCAAGCUGCCUGGGAAGUACGAUCGCAAGAUUGAAACUUAAAGGAAUUGGCGGGGGAGCAC